rnacentral:lncRNA from 1 species
UUUCCCAUUUGUGAUGUCGGAGACACAUCUUAAAGAUGGUGUCAAGGAGGUUGUAACACCCUAAAACUCGGAAUCAUAACUAAAAGGAUAAAAUCCAUGUUUUAGGAUGCUAUUCAAACAUAACAUGCAUACUUUACAAAUAUUUUCAAAACUCGCAGCAGAACUCAAUUAAAUAACAUAAACUUCAGUUAUCUCAUUGACGUAAAAAUUUAAUAAAAUCAACAUAAUCCAACGAUU